UGAGAUUAGAAUCUAAUUAAUUAUGUAUCAUUCGGUCCUUCCUUUGGCUAUCAAUCUAUUGUGGUCUGCUUUUUCAAACUCAUACAACAGGUUUAUAUUGAAUUAAAUUUUGUAUAGAUAGUUGUAGCGAUUCUAGCAAAACAUCUUCAAGCUUAAGUUGUUGAACUGAUAUAUAGCUUGUUGUGUAAUGCAUCUUAAUACCAUACAUGUAAGUUAAUUUAGGAAAUUGUGUUGCUCCGAGAUAAUUCUUAUUUGAAGACAUUACCAACGUAGGCAUGUUACCUUAACAGGCAAAAAGUUAUGUUGUGACUUAAAGAUAUGAUUUAUGGGCCUACCUCAGUAUCUUAGGAGUUGUCCUUUCCUUGUUAACCCUGUACACUUGACAAGGCCCAUCAGUUCGAGGUAGAGAUAAUGAAAGAACAUGUAUGCUUCCUUUCCUUGUUAACCCUGUACAGUUGACAAGCCUCAAUUCUGAAUAAAGUCGAAACCCAACUUUUACUAUUCAUUGACCACCAUUUGCAAUUGGCGCUGAUGGCAGAAGGACUGAGCAAGAGGAGGAACUUCGUCGACCCAGCCGUGAGCAAAUGAUGCUCUGACGAGUCGAUCAGGACCGUCAUGGAGAUCUGCCCACGGGGCCUCACCAAGGAACCAACACUGAGGCCAUUAGACAAGGACGUCCUAUGGAACCUGCAGUUUGCAGCCCUGGUGUAGGAUGAGUCCCCGCUCUCAUCAUCGCAGAUCCGUGCACAAUCCGCAGAGUACUAACCUCUAGGCAGGCUGAGAAAAAUAUUGGCAAGCAUUACCAUUAUGAUCCUCCCUUGAUCAUCAUUGUUGAAGGAAAACGUAUUAGAGAUGGUAUUUUCAAGUUAAAUGUACCAGCAGCCGAUGAUGGACCUUGUGAUGCAUAUAGUUUGCAUAUUUCUCUUCAUCCAGUUUCUUCAUCCAUUUUUUUCUGUUCGCUCAUUUCUUCUAGCGUAUUCCUAGCAGUAUUUUUCAGUUGAAGGAUAGAUGGUCUAAUUACCAAACGAAUGUGUAGGCAAUGCCCAUUUGAUUAGUUAUAUCCAUGUAGUCUAUGUUUGAUAGCAUAGUAUUGUAAAAACCAAAGAAUUUUAAAGCUACAGUAUUUGCUCCUAUAGGUACAAGAUACCACGGUAAUAAUAUACCAGAGUAUUUAGGAGUAUUGGGAAUAAUGCAAACCUGUUACACUAGAGCUUAUAUGUAAAGUAAAUUAGCAACUGGCCAUUUGUUAACAGUCGCACACAUGUUUGUACCCGGCUCGCUGGCCGUUGCGAACUGAACAACUAUGCACAAGAGCAAGCCCCAGCCGCAUGCACAAACUUGAAUGUCUAUAUGCAUUAAACGGCCAUACACAAAGCAAGCUUAUACAACAAGAGGAGUUGAACUAGGUUGAGUUGCUGCUUCACAUUGCCUGGAACGCUAGGCCAUGUUCUGCAUGUCGUCGCAGGCACCACGGGAGCGUCUUGGCCUUCUUUUGUGUCACCAUCGAGAGGUAGCAGGAAAUGUGCGUCGAGAGGCACUUGAAUACGCAUGUGGAUUGUUUUCAGCAUGGUAGUCUCAAAAAGGUGGUAUUCUCAAAAUACAUAGAAAAUGCUUUGCUAUCGAAUAGGGCUAUAAAUGCAGAUUUCCUUGAAGAUAGUAUAUUUUAUAACUGUAUUGCCAACGUGCUCCCAUAGUUUUAUCACCACAAAAUAGUUCUAACUGCUCAUUUAAUUUUCAGUGGCAUGCAUGGGUGGUUGUAGUGUAGUUUUAUUAAUCUGCAUGCAUUUUCUGUGUUGAUAUACUAUCUCAAUAAAUAAUGAAUACGUAUAAUAUAUGCAAGCUACAUUCAAUUAGUUUUGAUACUAUUCCCUUGAUAGUUUGUUACAUUUGAGGAGUUAGGGUACAAACGCCUGAAUAAACUGAGGAGCACUGUGAAACAAUUGCAAUUCGGGUAGCAAAUACACUUGAUGCGUUGUUCCCUUUUUUGAAUUGUUCAUAUGUUUACAACCACUUUGUUUUACUCAAAUGUCGAUUUGAAAUCUGUCAGCAUUAUUUCCGGAUGUGUUUGUCCUUUUGUUCUUACGUAUAUCUCUUGUGCUGUUAAUCUAAAUUACAACUUUGAAUGCUACAUAUUGUAUAGGCAGAGAGGGAUUUAAUGGUUAACAGCUCUUUGUGCCCCGGAUUAAUUUGUACUGGUUCAGGGGCUAUCUUGUGUCGCUGGAUGUGCUAUUAAAGAGGAUUUUAAUUUGGUUUUUCAAUCAGUGUGUCUGGGUAAGAUGAAUUGGUAAUAUUCAGCUAGCUGGAGACGGAACUACCGCUGCAAUCACUACUGGAGACGGAACUACCGCUGUCACAUGCCGCUUUAUCAAGGGUGUUGACAAAAGGGCCAUCAUCACUAGAGGCUGGAGUGGCUUCUUCCGUCAGGCACACAUUAAGAAAGGUCAAGCAUAUGCUUUCGCCUUCAAAUGCACUUUCAAGGGGCUGUGCCUGAUCGUCUACUCAAUAUAAACAGGUAGCAAGAACCCCUUGUUAUAUAACUUAGCAUUAGUAUAGAUGCCUAACAAGAUUUAUAUGUUUAUCAUCCUUUUGAAUCUUAUCUAAUCACCUAAGACCAUCAUGUACGUUUAACUCUCGGUCAUUUGCUAUUUAGGCUGCUGUGUGGUAAGCCUAUCUACAUGCCUGGCUCAUAACAUUGUAAAUGGUCAUUUGUAAGCUUAUUAGAGAACAUGUAUCAUCAGCAACCAUUUAUCUAUCAUCAAAUCGUACUUAUUUC